CUAUUUCAUCACUCUUUGCAUCAGCCAGCACGCUUUUCAACUUCAGAUUGUUUUUUGUGUGAUACGUUGUGAAGAAGGUGAUGAUGUCAUGCUGAUGAAAGUGAAGUGCUGCAGCACCCUGGAAGAAAUUAUUGAAGCGAUUUGAUCGAAAGCUUGUUAUCUUUGACUGAGCAUCGUUAAGACCACAAUAAGCUUCCCACGAAUCUCUACAUCCACUUUUGUCAUCCCCACGUGGUCCAAGAGAGCUGCAAGCCAGACGAAUAUAACGGGAGGCACAAGUUUCACUCGCCCCACUGAAACACUUGAAGCUUUUGUCAAGAUCACGGCCAAAUUUUUUAUUCUUGGUUAGUUCCUUUAAAGCAUUGUCCACUUCUGUGCUCAGUCCAAGAAGAAAGUGUGCAUUGCAAUGCAGAAACUGGAGAGAUUCAUCUGUAUUUAGGAUUUCCUGUCGCUUUUUGUCAAAUUUCUGGUCAAAAGAUUUCAUCACUGAAGCUCUGUCAUUCAUUAGACCGAUCAUGUUUUUUAGCAUCAGCUGGUUGUUUGCCUCAGCUUCUUCAGGCUCAUAGAUAUCAGCAAGGUCUUGAAAAACUUUACAUGCAACAGCCAACAGUGUAUCUGCAUCUUCAGCUGCCACUAGGGUGAAUCCCAGACUCAUUGAUUUGCCUGUCUCCAGAGUGAUUUGGUGGCCCAAAUACUUCCUGUGAUCUUUUGUGGUGCCAUCACUGUGAAGGUCAAAUGAGUGGUUCAUCAUUGAUUCUGCAGCAUGCAUUUUGGAGAGGACAUGGCCCUGAUCAGCAAAGCGAAGAGAUGUGCAUUCAGAUGGUAGUUGGCAUGGAGGAAUUUCUUUGUGGAAGAUGUUACUUGCCACAAUUCUAAUCACAUUCCCACACCUGACAGCAGGCACUUCUGCUUCACCCACCAGUUCUAUGACUGUCUUUAUGAGAUCUGUUGUAUAAUGUCCACCAUUUUUAGUUUUGAUUUCUUCAACUUUCUCACAAUACACAUUAUCAAGAGCUUCUUGAUAGUCAAGUUCAACCAUUUUUAUUUUUUGUUGCAAAGUCCUCUUAUCAUUUCUGAAGCUUUCCACUGAAAGUUUACAGUUAGAGACUUGGGUUUGUAAAACUUUGAUUUGAUGUUUGUAAUCUUCAAUUUUUUUCUGACAAUUACCACUCUUAUGUUGCUCUAUUGCUGUCUUGUCAGCUUUGAGUUCGUCUUCUUUACGUGCUAGUCUCUUGUACCAGUUAGACUGGCGAUAAAACCUGAGUUCUUGA